rnacentral:lncRNA from 1 species
GAAGAGAUUCCAUAAUUCUUUGUGAUUAAUUUCACUUUAAAAAUGAACAAAAGAGAGUAGAACAACAGUGGCUCACUGCUAGAGUUGUCUGGAGAAAAAUGUCAUGCAUGC